GUUACUUUGGCAACACAUAUAAAACUGCAAUGAUACAGAGAAGAUCAGCAUGGCCUCUGCACAAGGAUGAUGCACAAAUUCUUGGCGGUGAGUCUGCAAUAA